GUUUACAGCCCAACCACUCUGAGCAUGCUUGAUCUCUGAUGCCAGAAGUUCAGCAGGGUCAGGCCUGGUUAGUAUUUGAUGGGAAAGCAACUGGGGCCACCAGGUGUCGUUUGGC
rnacentral:rRNA from 1 species